UGCCAGACUCCUACGGGAGGCAGCAGUGGGGAAUAUUGCACAAUGGGGGAAACCCUGAUGCAGCGACGCCGCGUGAGCGAUGAAGUAUUUCGGUAUGUAAAGCUCUAUCAGCAGGGAAGAAGAUGACGGUACCUGACUAAGAAGCCCCGGCUAACUACGUGCCAGCAGCCGCGGUAAUACGUAGGGGGCAAGCGUUAUCCGGAUUUACUGGGUGUAAAGGGAGCGUAGACGGCGAUGCAAGCCAGAUGUGAAAGCCCGGGGCUCAACUCCGGGACUGCAUUUGGAACUGUGUGGCUGGAGUGUCGGAGAGGCAGGCGGAAUUCCUAGUGUAGCGGUGAAAUGCGUAGAUAUUAGGAGGAACACCAGUGGCGAAGGCGGCCUGCUGGACGAUGACUGACGUUGAGGCUCGAAAGCGUGGGGAGCAAACAGGAUUAGAUACCCCUGUACC
rnacentral:rRNA from 1 species